CCCUUUUUGUUCAUGAACUCCUUUCAGGUGUACUUUCAGCACACCAGCACUGAAAACGCAAGCCAGAGUCAGGAUGUUAAAAGAACGAAGAGAGGUUCCCUGAGGCAUGGAGACGGUCCAAGAAGAGUUCUCUAGAAUCAGUCAUACUAAGGAGGCAUGGGGAUAUUUACCUGGCAAGUUCAGAACCUCAGACAUAUGCUGGCAGAUACGGAAAGCAAUCAGACCACUGAUCUCCGAGCUAAAUAUAGGCCGCGGAGAAGGAGUUCAAACUGACACAAAGUAUUUUGUCAUGUGUUUUGGCAUUUUGAUGAAAGAGAAUCGCCUUUUGGUCAUCUUUUUAGAUUUGUAUUCACUUUGUUCAUCCAAUUCAGCCAAAAUAUUAGGAAAC
rnacentral:lncRNA from 1 species